GAUGAACGCUGGCGGCGUGCCUAAUACAUGCAAGUCGAGCGAACGGACGAGAAGCUUGCUUUUCUGAUGUUAGCGGCGGACGGGUGAGUAACACGUGGAUAACCUACCUAUAAGACUGGGAUAACUUCGGGAAACCGGAGCUAAUACCGGAUAAUAUUUUGAACCGCAUGGUUCAAAAGUGAAAGACGGUCUUGCUGUCACUUAUAGAUGGAUCCGCGCUGCAUUAGCUAGUUGGUAAGGUAACGGCUUACCAAGGCAACGAUGCAUAGCCGACCUGAGAGGGUGGUCGGCCACACUGGAACUGAGACACGGUCCAGACUCCUACGGGAGGCAGCAGUAGGGAAUCUUCCGCAAUGGGCGAAAGCCUGACGGAGCAACGCCGCAUGAGUGAUGAAGGUCUUCGGAUCGUAAAACUCUGUUAUUAGGGAAGAACAUAUGUGUAAGUAACUGUGCACAUCUUGACGGUACCUAAUCAGAAAGCCACGGCUAACUACGUG
rnacentral:rRNA from 1 species